rnacentral:lncRNA from 1 species
AGAGAUUAUAUCAACACUCCCAAGAAGAAAAGGCUGGAAUGACUCAGAUAACGACCUUUUUUUGUAUCGAAGCUUCUAUUAUUACUCGUUUUUCAUUGAAGGAGUGAUGUCGGCUCAACAAAAUUUCCAAUCUCAACCUUCCGAUAUCAUCAUAUGCAGUGCAUCGAAAACUAGAACAACAUGGUUAAAGUCCCUCACUUUCGCCAUUGUCACAAGAACCACCUUCGAUGAUUCCACUAACCCUUUACUUACCAAUCUAUCACAUGAUUGUGUACCCCUUUUAGAGGUUGAUUUAGCCCAAUCUUCCACCAAUCGAGACCCUAAAAAUCCUUUGUUAGCCACACAUGUCCCUUACUCUUCUUAAUUACCAAGAUCAAUAAUUGAUUCCAGUGGUAAAAUUGUUUACAUUUGUAGGGACCCUAAGGAUUCAUUCGUUUCGCUUUAUCACUUCAUUGCUAGGUGAUUGGCAUCCAAAGACAUGAAGCCCCUUGCUUUAGAGGAGGCCUUUGAGCUUUAUUGCGGAGGUGUAAGCUUUGGGACCAUGUUCUAUGGUUUUGGAAAGCAAGUUUGGACCGACCUGAUAAGAUUCUUUUCUUGAAAUACGAAGAAAUGAUAGAAGAUACUAUUUUAUACAUUAAGAAAAUAGCUGAUUUCAUCGGUUAUCCAUUCUCUUUUGAAGAAAUUGAAAAAGGAUCAGUCGAAAAAAUUGUAAACAUGUGUAGUUUCGAGAAUUUAAGCAAUUUGGAAGUGAAUAAAAGCGGAAAACACCGUGAGGGAACUCCAGGGGCGAUUGAAAACAAGAUCUUUUUUCGAAAAGGUAAGGUUGGGGAUUGGGAGAAUUAUUUGACACCUGAAAUGGCUGCUCGGUUGGACUCGAUAACGUUACAGAAGCUAAAUGGUUCAGGCUUAACUCUAUGAUUGAAUCAUAAAGCAGCCAUGGGGUAUAUUGUCCCUUCUUUGCAAUUUCGACAUAUUAUGUUUCUAAAAAUAAUUUGUGUAUGCUUUUUGCAAGUAGCAACACUUCUCGUGUUGUUCAUGUUAAGAUCAAUAAAAAGUAUAGUUGGUUCAAUUGAAAUCGAUUCAAUCAAUAUAAUUUUAUAUAAGUGAUUUGAUUUUGUUAGUUUAAUAUUUAUGGAUAAACUACACCAACUCUCCUAAGUUUUGUAUAAAAUUACAUUUCGGUUACUCAACUUUCAAAAUUUAUAUCAUAGUUAUUAACAUUAUCAAAUUGUUACAUUUUUGUCAUUGGGCUGUUAACUUCUGUUAAAGAAGUAACGUUGCACCUUAAUUCAGAAGGUUAAUAGCUAAUUUGGUCCCUGAACUAUAGUUAAAAAAUUAUUUUAAUUAUUUUAAUUUUUUUUAUCUUCGAAUAAUUUUGUCAAAUAAUUUAAUAAUUAAAUCAUUAUUUAUAGUGUACAAAUCAUAUUAAAAAAUUAAUCUAACUUUACGAAGCAUAAUGAGCAGGUAUAUUCUAGUGAUAUAUUAAAUAUAUGAUAUAACUCUUUUACAUACUUUUUUUACCUUCAAAAAGUCAAAUUCUUGAUCAUUUUAGUCGCUUUUUUUUUUAUCAUUUUAGUUUUGAAUCAUCAAAUUUCAAUUAAAUUACCUUUUUUUUUUGGACGUAAAAGGUUCCCUAACAAGUAAAAUUUUAACGUCAUUGACAUGGUAGACUGUAUAGUAGUGCAUGUGUAUUUUAUUGUUGACGUGGAUGAUUAUUUUCAAAACUUUUAUGAACUUUUUAAAUUUUUAUUUUUAUUUAAUUUAUGAAGUAAGCAUGGACUUUCAUGUGUGUCACCAUGUCACUUUCGUUAAAAUUUUAAUAGUCCAAUUAAAUUUUCAGUUCAAAGAAAAACAAUUUAACAAAAAUUUGAAAAUUUAAAACAAACCGAUCCAAAAAAGUAUUAAGACAAAUGCAUUUAAGAAAAGGGAAAUUAUUUGGUGCAUUGCCGGUAGAACUUUUAUACUCCACAAGUAGAAUUAGGGGUUAAUAAGUAUCCUAUAGAGAUAUAGUAAAAUAUUAUUUUUUUAAGAUUACUUAUAAAAUAAAAAAAUACACUUCACCCCAAUUACCGUAAAAAAAAAUACAAAACUUGAUUCCAAAUCUUGCUCUUUUAAAAAAAUUUUGACUUCACCCCGAUGUGCUAAAAGUGUUUUAAUUAGAUCCUAGACUCAAUAGAUUAAACUCGUUUAGUGGAGUUUUAUCAUUCAUGUUAUAUAAGUCAUUCUAAAAAAAAAAAAACCCUAUAAAAAGGAUCAUCUUUAAGUCAUUCAAUACAACUUCAAAAGUGCAUAAAAUAUCAAAAUCUGAACAGAAGAUUUUGAUGACUAGAAGUUGUUUCUUAAAAUCCUAAAAAAUUGAAAAACUUAAAUAAAUUCUAAAGAAUGUCACAUCUUUUUGAUACAAUGACUAAGACUACCUAUAGCCACCCUCAACACUUAAACAGAGGGAUAAUAAGCUUUAGUACACUUGAAUUCAAGUUCUCCCCAACCCAAAUAUAAAAAAUAAAACCCAAACCCAAAUUAAUAUUUAUAAAUUUAUAGUCCCAACUUUAUAUAAUUUAGUUAUAAGUUUAAUGUAUAUUAUAUACAUAAUACAUAAAUAAUUUAAUUAAAAACCUAAAUCCUGCCUCAUUUACCAAUUCCCAAAUCUGAAAUUCCUAUCCCAAAACCUUGCACCAUUUACACUGCCAUCAGCCCCUCCUCGACUGUCACCUACUACUGCAGGCCACACGACCACACCCGUCCAGCGUCCACCACCAGCAAGCAAUUGAAAGCAAAGUAGCAAGGAUAAUGCGGCCAUGGAAGGCAAGAAUUGAAGACAAAGAAGAAAAGGAAAGGAAAGCAAGCUUUAUCACGUAAUAGAAGGUUUGAAUGUUUAAAAGAGAUUUCUCAUGCAAUUUGGUUGGAUUAAUUAGGUUAAUCUCUAAUUUUUGGUUUAUUUGAUUAUUGUUAUAAAAAAAUUGAAUCGAUUUAGUGCACACCUUAUUUUUUUUUCACCUUCUAUAUUCUUUCAUGAUCUUAUUGAUUCGACCAUAAAUUUUUUUUAUGAUAUGGAAUAAAAUUCUAAUCUAUUAGAUGUGAAUUGCUCUAAUCUAAGCAUAAUUAUUGUACAAUUUUGUUAAAAAAAUGAAACUAUAUAUUUUGAAAUAAUUAUGAAUAUAUUAAUAUUAGUCUGUUGAUGUGAACAAUUAUUUUUAAAACUUUUAUAAGAUUUUUUAUUUUUUAAUUUUAAAAAGUACACACGUUCUUUUAUUCGAGUUAUCAUGUUACUUUCAUUAAAAUAGUACAAUUAAUUUUUGUGUAAAAUUUAAAAUACACUUCACCUUUAAAAAAUAAAAAAAUGCAUAGGACAGCACUAACUACAUUUAUUUAUUAAUUUAGUUCCUAUAACUCUACUCCAAUUCAAGAAAUCACGUGGUGGACAUAAUAAAAAACUGAUAUUAAAAGCAAAUAAUUCUCCACACUAAGAUCACAUGGUUGAAUUAAAAAAAGUUGAUUGCGUAAUUGUGAAAGAACUUACCUUCUCUCUGAAGCUAUUUAUAGAUCCAAUUUUUGUCAAAAUACUUGCACUCAUUUCUCCUUUCGUUUUUCCUUUAUCAAAAUGGCCUCCUUCAAAGAGAUCAUCUCAACACUCCCAAGAAGAAAAGGCUGGACUGACUCAAAUAACGACCUUUUUUUGUAUCGAGGCUUCUGGUGUUACUCGUUUUUCAUUGAAGGAGUGAUGUCGGCUCAACAAAAUUUUCAAUCUCAACCUUCCGAUAUCGUCAUAUGCAGUGCACCGAAAACUGGAACAACAUGGUUAAAGUCCCUCACUUUCGCCAUUGUCACAAGAACCACCUUCGAUGAUUCCACUAGCCCUUUACUUGCCAAUCUAUCACAUGAUUGUGUACCCUUUUUAGAGGUUGAUUUAGCCCAAUCUUCUACCAAUCGAGACCCUAAAAAUCCUUUGUUAGCCACACAUGUCCCUUACUCUUCUUUACCAAGAUCAAUAAUUGAUUCCAGUUGUAAAAUUGUUUACAUUUGUAGGAACCCUAAGGAUUCAUUCGUUUCGUUUUAUCACUUCAUUGCUAGGCUCUCGGCAUCCAAAGACAUGAAGCCCGUUGCUUUAGAAGAGGCCUUUGAGCUUUAUUGCCAAGGUGUAAGCAAUUAUGGACCUUAUUGGGACCACGUUCUAGGGUUCUGGAAAGCAAGUUUGGACCGACCUGAUAAGAUUUUUUUCUUGAAAUACGAAGAAAUGAUAGAAGAUACUGUUUUAUACAUUAAGAAAUUAGCUGAUUUCAUCGGUUAUCCUUUCUCUUCUGAAGAAAUCAAAAAAGGGUCAGUCGACAAGAUCGUAAGCAUGUGUAGUUUCGAGAACUUAAGCAAUUUGGAAGUGAAUAAAAGUGGCAAACAUCGUGAAGGAACUCCAGGGGUGAUUGAAAACAAGAUCUAUUUCCGAAAAGGUAAGGUUGGGGAUUGGGAGAAUUAUUUGACACCUGAAAUGGCUGCUCAGUUGGACUCGAUAACGUUACAGAAGCUAAAUGGUUCAGGCUUAACUCUGUGAUUGAAUCAUAAAGCAACCAUGGGGUACAUUGUCCCUUCUCUGCAAUUUCGACAUAUUGUGUUUCUAAAAAUAAUUUGCGUAUGCUUUUUGCAAGUAGCAACACUUCUCGUGUUGCUCAUGUUAAGAUCAAUAAAAAGUAUAGUUGGUUCAAUUGAAAUCGAUUCAAUUAAUAUAAUUUGAUAUAAGUGAUUUGAUUUUGUUAUUUUAAUUUUUAUGGAUAUACUACACCAACUGUCCUAAGCUUUGUAUCAAAAUUACAUUUCGGUUACCCAACUUUUAAAAUUUAUAUCAUAGUCACUAACAUUAUCAAAUUGUUACAUUUUUGUCACUCGACUACUGUUAACUUCUGUUAAAGAAGUAACGUUGCACCUUAAUUCAGAAGGUUAAUAGUUAAUUUGGUACCUGAACUAUAGUUAAAAAAUUAUUUUCAUAUUUAAAUUUUUUUUUACAAUAAUUGUAAAAAAGUAAAAAAAAGUCUUAAAAAUAAAAUUCAUAUAAACAAGAAACAACUAAGAAUUUUGCUACUGUCUUUGCUCUCUCUCUCUUUUUUUUUUUUCUCUUUUUUCAUGCAAGUCAACGUUGGCUCCGCUCUUCCCUAAUCUUUAAAAAUAAUAUAUAUAUAGGUUUUAUUUAUAGCUAAAAGUAAAAUAUUGACUUGAAAUUUGAGAGAAGAAAGGUGGGUUUGGAGAAGAAGAAUAGCACUUUGUAUUAUAAAUUUAAAAACGAAAACCCAAUCAGUGUAACACCCCAAACCCAACCUAGACAUUAUGGCUGAAUCUUGAAGGUUACAUUAACUUCUUGAGAAUUUAGAUUGUUAUUUUCUGAAAUGUCAACUUGUUUUUCUGUAAAAGUAAAUUCUUAUAAAAAAACACGUUUUCACUUAUUAGUUGCAAAAAAAAAAAAAAUCCAUUCUACAAUAAGGGUUUCUUUAAAACAUUUGUUCUUUAGUACUAAAUUGAAAUAAUAGACCUAUAGUGAACUCGCUUAUUUUUCAGAAAAUUAGAUUUCUCAUUUUGUUUUGCAGUGGAAAAACUUUUACUUGUAUAAUUUUGAAAAUCGAACAUUUUUUUUAAUUAACAGAAAUCAUGUAGAAAAUUUAAACUAAUUAACUAAAAACUGAACAAAACCCAAAUCCAAAAUAAAAGUUCAAAAAUUAGUUCGACAGUCCAAAAGUCCAUAAAUUUUAAUUAAUAAUUAUUUAAAAUGAUCUUAUGCAAGAAAACUAAUACGAGCUCCCGAGUGCCGCCCAAUCCUAAUCCCGUGGGUUACCUGAAAUAUUAAGCAAGUGGGUGAGCUAAAAAGCUCAGUGUGUGCCUUACUCUACCCGUAAACAUGGACAAAUAACUCUACCAGUAAACAAUUCUACUAGUUGAAACAUGGAAAACACAACAAACAUAAUUUUGACCAACAUAAAGCCCACCAAUUUAAAUGACCCAAUCACCCUUCAAAAACCUAUCAAUACCUUCAUCUACUUAGCUUAAAAUUAGAUCAUCUAAAUUCCAAAUUAAGGCCACUCAAUGCAUAAGGUUGAUUUUAAAGGAGUUUUAUAGAUGUGAUUUAAAAGCACUAAAAUCACAUGGAUGAAUUACAAAAAUUUUACUGUGUACUCGUGAAAUAAAGUAACUUUAUUUACAUAGACCAAUUUUUAUUAAAAUAUUUGCACUCAUAUCCCUUUUUGGUUUAUUUGAUUAUUGUUAUAAAAAAAUUGAAUCGAUUUAGUGCACACUUUAUUUUUUUUUCACCUUCUAUUUUUUUUCAUGAUCUUAUUGAUUCGACCAUAAAAUUUUUUUAUGAUAUGGAAUAAAAUUCUAAUCUAUUAGAUGUGAAUUGCUCUAAUCUAAGCAUAAUUAUUGUACAAUUUUGUUAAAAAAAUACUUUAUUUUAUGAAACUAUAUAUUUUGAAAUAAUUAUGAAUAUAUUAAUAUUAGUCUGUUGAUGUGAACAAUUAUUUUUAAAACUUUUAUAAGAUUUUUUAUUUUUUAAUUUUAAAAAGUACACACGUUCUUUUAUUUGAGUUAUCAUGUUACUUUCAUUAAAAUAGUACAAUUAAUUUUUGUGUAAAAUUUAAAAAUGCACUUCACCUUUUAAAAAUAAAAAAAUGCAUAGGACAGCACUAACUACAUUUAUUUAUUAAUUUAGUUCCUGUAAUUCUACUCGAAUUCAAGAAAUCACGUGGUGGACAUAAUAAAAAACUGAUAUUAAAAGCAAAUAAUUCUCCACACUAAGAUCACAUGGUUGAAUUAAAAAAAGUUGAUUGCGUAAUUGUGAAAGAACUUACCUUUUCUCUAAAGCUAUUUAUAGAUCCAAUUUUUGUCAAAAUACUUGCACUCAUUUCUCCUUUUGUUUUUCCUUUAUCAAAAUGGCCUCCUUCAAAGAGAUCAUCUCAACACUCCCAAGAAGAAAAGGCUGGACUGACUCAAAUAACGACCUUUUUUUGUAUCAAGGCUUCUGGUGUUACUCGUUUUUCAUUGAAGGAGUGAUGUCGGCUCAACAAAAUUUUCAAUCCCAACCUUCCGAUAUCGUCAUAUGCAGUGCACCGAAAACUGGAACAACAUGGUUAAAGUCCCUCACUUUCGCCAUUGUCACAAGAACCACCUUCGAUGAUUCCACUAGCCCUUUACUUGCCAAUCUAUCACAUGAUUGUGUACCCUUUUUAGAGGUUGAUUUAGCCCAAUCUUCUACCAAUCGAGACCCUAAAAAUCCUUUGUUAGCCACACAUGUCCCUUACUCUUCUUUACCAAGAUCAAUAAUUGAUUCCAGUUGUAAAAUUGUUUACAUUUGUAGGAACCCUAAGGAUUCAUUCGUUUCGUUUUAUCACUUCAUUGCUAGGCUCUCGGCAUCCAAAGACAUGAAGCCCGUUGCUUUAGAAGAGGCCUUUGAGCUUUAUUGCCAAGGUGUAAGCAAUUAUGGACCUUAUUGGGACCAUGUUCUAGGGUUCUGGAAAGCAAGUUUGGACCGACCUGAUAAGAUUCUUUUCUUGAAAUACGAAGAAAUGAUAGAAGAUACUGUUUUAUAUGUUAAGAAAUUAGCUGAUUUCAUCGGUUAUCCUUUCUCUUCUGAAGAAAUCAAAAAAGGGUCAAUCGACAAGAUCGUAAGCAUGUGUAGUUUCAAGAACUUAAGCAAUUUGGAAGUGAAUAAAAGUGGCAAACAUCGUGAAGGAACUCCAGGGGUGAUUGAAAACAAGAUCUAUUUUCGAAAAGGUAAGGUUGGGGAUUGGGAGAAUUAUUUGACACCUGAAAUGGCUGCUCAGUUGGACUCGAUAACGUUACAGAAGCUAAAUGGUUCAGGCUUAACUCUGUGAUUGAAUCAUAAAGCAACCAUGGGGUACAUUGUCCCUUCUCUGCAAUUUCGACAUAUUGUGUUUCUAAAAAUAAUUUGCGUAUGCUUUUUGCAAGUAGCAACACUUCUCGUGUUGCUCAUGUUAAGAUCAAUAAAAAGUAUAAUUGGUUCAAUUGAAAUCGAUUCAAUUAAUAUAAUUUGAUAUAAGUGAUUUGAUUUUGUUAGUUUAAUUUUUAUGGAUAUACUACACCAACUGUCCUAAGCUUUGUAUCAAAAUUACAUUUCGGUUACCCAACUUUUAAAAUUUAUAUCAUAGUCACUAACAUUAUCAAAUUGUUACAUUUUUGUCACUCGACUAUUAACUUCUGUUAAAGAAGUAACGUUGCACCUUAAUUCAGAAGGUGUAACAGCCCAAUUUUUAGUAGUGUCAGAAUAGUGAUUUGAGAUCACUAAAAUUGAUGAAAAAGUUAGAAAAAUUUAUUAAUUAAUAAUUAUAAGUUAAGUGUGAUUUUAGAAAUAUUUUUAAAUCAGUGAAUUUUGUGAUUUAAAAGAAAUUAUUAGGUAAAUUGGGUUGAAAACGAGGUAUCGAGACCUUGAUAUUAUAAACUGAGCCGUAAAUAUUUAUAAAAAUAUUUACGGAGUGUCAACAGGAUAAUAUUAAAGUUUCGUUAAGAAAUUUUAACGCUUUGAUAGUUAAUUAUGAAAAAGGACUAAAUUGAAGUAAGGAUAAAAGUUUAAUUAUAGAUUAAAGAAAAGUUAAAGGACCAAAUAGGCAAUUAUGCCUUUUUCUAAAGUUGAGGCGGCAUAACAAAAGAAAAAUCUAAGAUAUUUUUAAUUUAAAAAUAUAUAUAUUAUAUUAUACAUGCGUAAGUAAUAAUUAUGUUUUUAUAUUAUAUUAUUAUUAAUAUAUUAUAUUAUAUUAUAUUAUAUUAUAUUAUUAUUAUAUAUAUGACAAAGAAAGAAAGAAAAGAAACAGAGAGCAAAACAAAACAGAGAAGGGAGAAAGAAAGAAACAGAGAGCAAAACGAAACAGAGACGGAAGGAAGGAAAGAAAGAAAGAAAAGAAAAGAAAAAGGGAAAUUUGGGGUUUUAAGGUUCAAAGUAAUUUGGUAAGUCAAUUUAAUCCCCUUUUCUCUUAAUUUUGAUAUUUUUUUUGAAAUCCUAGAGCAAAAUACUACUUGAUUUAAGUUGAAAUUUUGGAAGUUAGUAGAUUAUUAAGCAUGGUUCAUGUUGAAUAAAUUGUUAAAUUAGGGAUGUAUUUGAUAGAAAUUUUGAUUGGAAUUGAAUAAAGGAUUGAAUUGUAAACUAAACUAUAAGUUUUGAAUUUUAGGGAUUAAUUUGAAAUAAAUUCGGAAUUAUGAAAACAUGAUAAAAAUUAAAUAGUUAAAUAUGAGUUUAGUAAGAAAUUGGGUAGAAUAAGGGUAUGAAUUGAGAAAGAAAAAUAUAUAGGUUUAGUUAGGGGUUAAAUUGAUUUAAUUUCAAGUUAGAAGUUAGUAAAGAAUGUAAUUGUAAAAUAAAAUAUAAGUUUUGAAUCGAUAGGGAUUAAAUUGAAAGAAUCCCGAAAUUAGGGAUUUAUGGUGAAAUUGAGGAAUUAAAUUGACUUUAUAGUAAGAAUUAAGAGAGAAUAUAGAGUUAGAUUGGGAAAAAUAAAAUUAGUAUUGGUAAGGGAUUAAAUUAGAAUUUGGGUAAAGUUUAGGUAUAAAAGGAAAUAUUUUAAUGAAAUUGUGUAUUAAUGAUUUUUAAUUGUUUAAUUACGUAGCUAAUGUCGUGUACGAGUCAUUGUCCGAGAAAGGAAAGGAGAAAGUGGACAAGGAGUGACUCGAGAGAAAUUACGGUUAGUAUUACUAUAAUUCGAAUUUAAUUAUUAAUCGUUGAAAAUUAAAUUAAUAUACACGAUAAGCAAAUUGAGGUGAGUUUCAUAAUUGAAUUGAAUAAUAUAUAUACGUAUUGAUAUUGAAUUUAUUGACAGUAAUUAUUGAAUUUUGAAUAAUAUGUUAGUAAAUAAAAAUAAGGAGAAUAUCAAUAUUUAAUUGAAUGAAUUAAAAUAUGAAUUGAAUAAAUGAGAUAUUAAAUUGAGAUAUGUGAAUAUGUGAAUUGUGUAUUGAUUGAAAAGUGGUUUGAAUUGAAUCGAAGUAUGAUUAUAUGUGAAUAUCUGAAAUAUGUAUUGGUAUUGAAUUGUAUAUUGAUUUGAAAGUGGGAAGUGAAUCUGAGUUGAAUUGCGAUUAAAUCGAAAGUGAAUUUGAAAUAGAAAAAUGUAUUGAAACAAAUGGUGAUUAAAUGGGAAUGAUUUGAAUUGAAAGUAUGAGAAAGUGAUUGAAUUGAAAUGUGAUUCGGAAACCCUAUUAACUAGUCGGGCUGAGUCGGAUAUAGUUGGCAUGCCAUAGGAUUGGAAGAGUUCAGGGAUACUUCGACCUUGAGUCGAUGAGACACUGGGUGUCACUAUAUUUCUUCGGAUAGAUUCGAUGAGGUACUGGGUACCAACUUUACUUCGGCUGGGCCGAUGAGACACUGGGUGUCAACUAUUGCUUCGAACUAUCCGAUGAGGCACUGGGUGCCAUUUUGGUGUGUUUGGUUGGAUCCGUGUAUCCGCCAAGGUCCGAGUCUUGUUAAUAGGGGUAAAUAAUUGAAAUGAGAAAAUUGAAUAAAUGUGAUUGAUUGAGCUAUGGGAAGAAACGAAAAAGUGAAGUUGUGAAUUGAUGUGUGAAUUGGAAAUCGAAAUAAGAGAUUUAAAGAUAUGAGCCCAAAGUUCAUGAUGUGAUAAAGAGUAAAUUUUGUUAUAUGAUAUUAGUGAGUACAAAUUGCAAUAAAAUUUAUAUUGAAUAUAAAUUAAAUGAAAUGAAUUGUAUAUGAAUUGAAAUGAACUAUUGGAAUGAGAUGUAAAGAAAAAUCCGAUGGAAUUGAGAUAGUGAAAUAAGGUAUGAAUACAAUUAAAUACAAGAUUUGAAUUAUAGCUUAUUGUUAUUAAUUAUCAAGUUGAUUUAAUGCAUGAGAUAAUUAAUGAAUAAUUGUAGACAUAAAUAAAAUGUAUAUAAUUUAUCGAUUAAUGUUAUUAAUUCGAAUUAUGGUAAUACCACUGAGUAUUUCCAUACUCAGCGUACGGUUGUUUCCGUGCGUAGGUUAGGUCAAAGUCGGAUUGUUGAAUCAGCAUCCAAAGCCGAUUCUGAGCUAAUUGUGGUGGUGAACAUUUCUUUUAGUUAUGGCAUGUAUAGGAAUUUAGUAAUUUUGUAUAUUUGUAAAUAUGAUUUUACUAUAGAAUGAUGUGUAAGUAUUUGAUGAUGAAUGGUUGUUUAAAUGGUCAAGGAUGAAGUUAAUUAUUGUUAUAAAAGUCUAAGUGAUAAAUUAGGUAUGAAAAUCAUAAAAUGGUAAAAUUUUGCAAAGAAACAGAAUUCAGGCAGCAAUAGUGACGUAACUUUGAAAAAUCACCUAGGAUAGUAUAAAAUGAAUUAGAGGGUGAAUGAUAUAUGAAAUGAAAUAUUAUUGAGUCUAUUUUUAUAUAAAAAUAACGGUUUAGCAAAAAUAAAUUUAUAUUUUAAGAUAUGUGAAUUUUAGUGAGAAAUGGUCAGAUCUAUUUCUGGAGUCCCCUGUUCUGAGUUUAGAAAAUCACUAAAAAUGGUAUAAAAAUAUUUAUGAGUUGUAGUUUAUAUGUGUAGAAUCCUUAUUGAGUCUAUUUUCUGUAGAAAUAAGUGGUAAUAUCAUAUGAAAAUCCUAUAAUGAGAAAAUUUAUUUUUAGUACCAAGGGGUCAGGACAGUCGAGUGAAGAAACAGGGGAGAAUUUAACUAAUAAAAUGUAUUAAUUGGUCAAACCAAGAAUUCUUAAAAUUUUAUGGUAGAAAGAUAUAUGAGUCUAGUUUCAGGAAAAAUUUACGAAAUUAAAUUUGGAGUUCCGUAGCUCGAGUUAUAAUCAAUUUAGUAACUGCUGCGCGAUUGGACAGAUUACUGUAAACAGUGAAAUUAAUUUUUAAAACGAAUUUUUAUGCCCCGAAUUAGUAAGAUAAGCUAAGUAAUGCCUCGUACUCGAUUCCGGCAACGGUCUCGGGUAAGGGGUGUUACAGAAGGUUAAUAGUUAAUUUGGUACUUGAACUAUAGUUAAAAAAUUAUUUUCAUAUUUAAAAUUUUUUUUACAAUAAUUGUAAAAAAGUAAAAAAAAAAGUCUUAAAAAUAAAAUUCAUAUAAAAAACCAGUUGGAGCAAGAAACAACUAAGAAUUUUGCUACUGUCUUUGCUCUCUCUUUUUUUUUUUCUCUUUUUUUCAUGCAAGUCAACGUUGGCUCCGCUCUUCCCUAAUCUUUAAAAAUAAUAUAUAUAUAGGUUUUAUUUAUAGCUAAAAGUAAAAUAUUGACUUGAAAUUUGAGAGAAGAAAGGUGGGUUUGGAGAAGAAGAAUAGCACUUUGUAUUAUAAAUUUAAAAACAAAAACCCAAUCAGUGUAACACCCCAAAUCCAACCUGGACAUUAUGACCGAAUCUUGAAGGUUACAUUAACUUCUUGAGAAUUUAGAUUGUUAUUUUCUGAAAUUUCGACUUGUUUUUCUGUAAAAGUAAAUUCUUGUAAAAAACUUGUUUUCACUUAAUAGUUGCAAAAAAAAAAACCCAUUCUACAAUAAGUGUUUCUUUAAACAUUUGUUCUUUAGUACUAAAUUGAAAUAAUAGACCUACAGUGAAAUCGCAUAUUUUUCAGAAAACUAGAUUUCUCAUUUUGUUUUGCAGCGAAAAAACUUUAACUUGUUUAAUUUUGAAAAUCGAACAUUUUUUUAAUUAACAGAAAUCAUGUAGAAAAUUUAAACUAAUUAACUAAAAACUCAACGAUCUUAUGCAAGAAAACUAAUGCGUGUAACACCUCGACCCGCGUCCGUCGCCGGAUUAGAGUUACGAGACAUUACUAAACAAAGCACACAUUCAAAAACACAUAAAACCCAAUUUAAACAAAAUUAUCAUGAACAAGCCAUUUUUAAACCAAACCGAUCACAAGCAUGGAAAUUAAACCAUUUUCGCAUGGCUAUUUAUAUAUUAUGAUCCAAAACUAACCAAAAACAUAAUCAAGCUUAUACAUGCCAUAAGAUUGAGUUCAACUUUAACAAAAUACCAAAAGAAGUCGAUAGUGUGAUAGACUAUGCUGGUGAUUCCCGAGCUCGUAACGCGACUCCAAAAUCUAUAAAACAGAGGUAAACAAAAACACACACAGUAAGCUAUUAAAGCUUAGUAAAUCUAAAGCUUAACAAAUUAUAUAAAGAAUAAAAAAAACAAUUAAACAAGUUCUUGGUAUAUCUAUUGAAUUUUAAAAAAAAAUCACAUAUAUAUUGUCUUUUGAAUAUUUGCUAUUCAUAAUCCCCUUAUUUAUAAUCAAACAUAUGAAUUCACAAAAUGCAAAUCACUAAACUCAUAUAUAAAUAUAAACAAUAUGAACACCACCAAUUUAUAUAUAUAUAUAUAUAUGCAUUCGUCAAAAGUCCUACUUACGAAUGCAUUACAUAUUAUUUGUAUAUAAUCAUAUGCAUACGAAAUUUUCAUAAUUUAAAACUUAAUCUAUAUACAUUUCAAUUAUGAAUAACCGAAUGCUUAUGUAUUUGCACCUAACAAAUUAUCAUAACCAAAUGAAUAUACAUAUACAUCAAAUAAAUAUAUUCAGAUAUAAUCACAUUUACCAAUAUAUAUAUAACACCGAGUACAAACAUAUUCCUUAAAAACAUAUACCAAAUGCAUAUAUAAAUUUACUAUAUGCAUAUAACCAUAUAUAUAUAAUUUCAUAUAUAACAAGUGCAAUAAACCGUGUAUAUAUAUAAAUAUAUAUAUACUCUCCAAAUAUAAUAACAAGUAUUUAUCUGCUCGUCAAACUUAUUUAUCAAAUAUAUAUGCUUGAUCUUCAAAUAUAUAUAUUAUUGACAUAUCAUGUACAUAUUCAAUAUAUUGAAUCCAGUAAUAUAAUCACCGGUAUUUAGCCUGCUAGGUUGUAAAACCUGAUUUAAUACACCGGCUUUUAGCCUGCUAGACUUAUAGUCCGAAUAAUUUCACUGGCAUUAAGCCUGCUAGACAAUGAGUCUGAAUUAUAUCACCGGCAUCAAGCCUACUAGACAAUAAGUCUGAAUUACAUUCAAUCACUUUAUAUUAGUCGUUCAAACUAACAACCUCAUAUAUUCAUUUCCAUUCAAGAACUUUCGCAUGAAUAAAUUCACAUAAUCGAAACUUUCUUAAACAUAUAUAAGUUCCAUACCUAAAUUCAUUUCAAGAACAUAUAUGCAUAUACUUGCUUCAUCGCAUUUCAUAAUAUCUUACACAUAUAUCCUACCUAAAUUCGGAUUUAGUACCUAUUCAUGUAUGUAAACAUAUCCAAUCAAAUAUAGCAUAUACAUAUAUUUUCAACUCACACGUAAACAUACCUAUUCAAUACUACAUAUAUACUCAUGAAUUACAUGUCUUAAAUUAAUCCCAAAGGUUUAUACACGUAUAUACAUAUAUAUGUAUAUUCGAACCUUAUAUAAUAACAAGUUAUAAAUACCUUUGAAUCUAAACCAAGAAUUUAUACAUAUUCGAAUCUACCAUAUAAAUAUAUAAAUUCAUACUCAAUUUCAAAACAAGAACUUAUACAUAUAUAAUGACAUAUCUAAAUUCAAUACACAACACAUACACGUAUAUUUGCAUGCUUAUUCGAAUAUAUAUAUACAAUUAUAACAUACAUAUCACAAAUCAAAUCCAAGAGUUUAUAUAUAUAUUUAUAAUCAUUCGAACCUUAUAUAUAUACAUAUAUCUUAUACAUAUCUUUGAUUAAUCUAAUAUUUUAUACAUGUAUAUACUUAUAUACCGUUUAUACUUUAUCUAAAUUUAAAGGUUUAUAUAAGUAUAAACCUAUAUAUAUAUUAGAACUUUAAUAAUACAUGUAUAUCAUUCAUACUUUAUUUUAUUUCAAUCAAUAUGCUUUUAAAAUAAAGUUCAACAAAAUACAAUACAUUUACAUACCCAUAUACCGAUUUAAUAACAUUAAAUAGCUAAUAGACUUACCUCGGACAGUGAAAAAUUAAAAUCGAAUAAUUAGUCGACAAUUUUGGUUUUUCCCCGAUCUAGCUCCGAUUUCUUUGGUUCUUGAUCUAAACAUAUUCAAAAUGAGCUAGUUUAAAUAUUAUUAACUUCAAUUUAAUCCAAAAACACAUAAAUGGGAAAAUUACAAAUUUGCCCCUAAUAUUUUACAUUCAAAUUUUUACUAUACUAAGGUUAGGCCGAAUCUUCAUUAUACUCAUACAAGUCCAUGCAUUUCAUUUAUUUCGUAUUUUAGUCCCUCAAAAAUUUAUUUUCACAAUUUAACUCUAACUACUCAAUUUCACCAAAACUUCCAAUACAAAACAUAUUAAUCUAAAAUAUAUCUUUCAUUAUUCAUCAUCAAACAUCACAUAACACAAAUGUUCAUCAAUGGCACAACUCAAAAUAUUCAUCAAAAUUAAAAAUUCAAACAUGGGUCGGAUAGUAUUCGAAACAACGAUCUCAAAAACGUAAAAAUAUUCAAAAAAUCGAACAAAGAACUAACCUUAAUCAACAAUAGAAAUGCCGAACCCUAGAAAGCCAUGAAUAAAUUCCCAAAGUUUCCUUAUUCGGCCAAAGAGAUGAAAAUGUCUUAUAAUUUCUUUACUUAUUUUAAUUAUAAGAUAUAAUUUAAUAUUUUACUAAAUUAACCUUAUUAUAAUAAAUACUUAUAACAUAUAUAUUUUGGACAAUGUUGUCAUAUACCACCCACUAACUAAAUCUUGGUCUAAUUACAUCUUUAGACCUCCCACUUAAAAAGACAACAACAAAUAGGUGCUUUUAAAAUUUAACCUCUAACUUUUAUUUUACGCGAUUAAACCCUUUUCAUCGAAUUAAACCUUCAAACGAUUAAAUUUCCACACGAAUUUUUCACACCUAUAACUUAACAUAUAAUAAACACUAAAAAUAAUAUUAAAAUAUUUUUUGACUCGAAUUUGUGAUCCCGAAACCAUUAUUCCGAUUAGGGUCAAAAUCGGGUUGUUACAAUGCGAGCUCCCGAGUGCCGCCCAAUCCUAAUCCCGUGGGUUACCUAAAAUAUUAAGCAAGUGGGUGAGAUAAAAAGCUCAAUGUGUGCCUUGGCCCACACACAUAAAUCAUAUAAAAAAACAUGCACAUAUGCAAAUAGCAGAACAUACAAAAGAAAUGUUAUAACAUGCUUAGCAUAACAAAGUUAUACAUAUUAAUCCUAUCCCCAUCCACUACACACCAGCUCCAUCCAUCCAAUUACACCAAUUAGGGCUAUUAGAACCCAUCCAUCCAUCACACCAAAAUGUGGUCAUAUGCCAUUCAAAUGAUAGGUAGCUAUGUUGCCAUAAGUAUAUUGAGGAAAUACCACCAAAGUUAUUUAGUGCAAUUAAACUGCCAAAAUCAUACUGCCUCUAUCACAAAACCAUAUCCCACCCCAAUGCAUAUGCAAAGACAUACCUCAUGUUCAUAUAUAACCAUAAGAAUUAUGCCAUACAUAAGUAAGAGAUAACAUAAAAAAAAGCACACUAAUUAGCUUACUUAGAGCUUUCUUGAUCAGAAUCAUACUUAGGCUAAUAUACAUACACAUAGGUUUACGGAUUACAUGACCUAGAAUGCUUAUAGAAUAUUUGUACAUAAUGUUAUUUACAUAUCAGAGUCCUGAACUUAACAAAUCUCUUUCAUUUGGCUUGAAAAUGGCCCAAUUUAACAAUUCAAAGAAGGCCCACACGACUUACCUACCUAGAUCGUGUGGCCCACACACCCUACUUGAACAGGCCAUGUGACUUACACGCCCGUGUGGCUCACACAACAGAGCACACAGCUGUGUGGCUCACACAGCAGAGCACACGACUGUGUGGUGUCGUGUAACACCCCUAACCCAUGCUCGUCGCCAAAAUAGGGUUAUGGAGGAUUACCAAAGUUUUCAAAAUAAUUUCAAUUAAUUUAUAUCAAUUACUGUUCAUAAUUGAAAUUAAUUAUAAAUCCAUCAUACAACAAAAUUAACGUUCUAAACCCAUUUGAUACUUAUAAUUUAUUUCCAUACAUUAAUAUAGGCAAUAAAACAAUUCAUUUGCUUCAAUUUGGUCAUUUUGGAUAUUUUUACAAAAUUACCCCUAAAAUUUUGUUUUUAUUCAAUUUAGUCCCUGAGCCUAAAACAUGUAAAGUAGCUAUUUUUAAAAUAAGCUCAUACUAGAUGAAUAAUCACAUAUAUUUUCCUCCUCCUCCACUCCAUUCCACAUCCUUGAGAUAUAUACAUAAUACCACUAUUUACUUGUAUACUCAUAACAAGCUGUUCACUUGAGUCAUAGUCACUAAAUUAAUCAUAUCUUGAGCUACAAAAUUCUAAAUCAAGAUCCAGUUAAUGUUUUAGAAACUAGACUCAAAUAUAUUUCUACUAUAAAAAUUUCAGAAUUUAUGAUUCAGCCAAUAAGUACAGUAAAAUCUUCAAAUUUAUCCCCAUUCUGCUAUUCGAUAGCUUCGACAUUUCUUUACUAAAAAUUAUUUAUCUCUUAGUACAAAAUUCGGAUGAUGUUCCCAUUUAUUUUUCUUGAAAAUAGACUCAUUAAGAACUUAAUCAUACAAAUUUAAACCAUCCAAAUAUUUUUAUACAAUUUUUAAUGAUUUUCCAAAGUCAGAACAGGGGAAAACAAAAUCAUUCUGACCUUGUCUCACCAAAUUUAUUAUAUCUCAUAAUUUACUAUUCCAUUGCUUACACCGUUUCUUCUAUGAGAAACUAGACUAAUAAGCUUUAAUUCCAUAUUUUUUUAAUUCUUAAUUCGAUUUUCACAAUUUAUGAUGAUUUUUUAAAGUUAGCCUACUGCUACUGUUCAAAAAUUGUUUUAGUGCAAGAUGUUGAUUACCAAGUUUAUAACUCUCUUAUUCCCCUUUUCUAUAAUAUUUCCCAUCACUUUCUCUUAUUUCCCUUCACUAAUAUAUCAAGAACAUAAAACAUUAUAUAAGAAAACUCUACUAUAACAUAAUUUCCAUGUUUUUUCAAUAAUAUCAAACUUAAAAAAAUAUAUUGAAAUCUUGAUGUUCUUACCUUGUCCUAAUGAUUUCAACCAUUAACUUGAUUUUCUCUCUCCUCCAGCUUCUAUUUCUUGAAUCUAACUUGAUUUUCUAGCUACCCAUAGUCUCCUUCUUAUCUUUCUCUCUUGAUGGCUAUGGAAAUUCUUUUGAUUUCUAAGUGAAAAUGGUGAAUUUUUGGUGAAGGACCAAAUUGUAAAAAAAAAGUUUCUUUUUUCUUUUCUCCUCAUACGUUGGAAUGCAUGGGAGGUUGAUGAUGAUUCUUCAUCUUUCUUUUCUUAUAUAUACUAAAUAAAAUAAUAAUAAAAUAAUAAAAUAUCAUUUAAAAAUCAAAUUAAAAUAUGAAUAAACUAAUAUUUAUUUAUUUAAUCUAAAAUAUCUCCAACAUCAUCAUUAUGUUCUAGAUUUCUCUCUCUUCUAAUUGAUCAUUUUGUCCUUUAUGAUCUUUUAAAAUUCCAUCCUUGAGUCAUCACUUAAUUUGGUAAAAUUGCCAUUUAAUCCCUCAUAAUUCUUCACCUAUUUAAUUUGGUCUUAAUUCAUCCAUUUUCCUUAAUUUCUAGAUCAUUCUAUCCUUAAAAUAUUUGCACUAUUGGUCCUUCAACUUUUUCAUAUUUACAUUUUAACCUCUCAAAUUUGAGUAUUUACUCUUGAACAAUAAAACUUUUCUCACUUUUAUGAUUUAGUCCUUUCUUGAAUUAAUAUAUCAUAAUAUAUUUCCAAAUGUUGACAUAACUCAGAAUUUCCCUUUUUGUCACUUUAUUUCCUUAUUUUACUAUAUCAAGGAUAAUAUCUUACUAUAGAAAUUUUCAGGAUAUUACAUGUCGACUGCCACCUCCGGGCUUUCAUGCAUUUUUCAGUUUCCAUGAAUUUUUCAAAGUUUUUUCAGGUUAAAACACACACCUAAUUGCUAACAAAAGAUCGACGCUAUUGCAACUAAUUCAGUUUUGCGUACGACAACAAAAUCGAACCUAUUAGCAAGACCAAAUCUGAAUCUAGGCAUUCGGCACUUGUUUACUAAACAAAACCAGCCCCUAAUCUUGGGCAUUUGAUAGUUACCCAGAAAAAUAGCAGUCCAACACACCUAAUUCGUCGGAGGAAAGUUGUGCGUCUCACGAUCUUUUCCUAACAAAACCAAAAACAACCCUUUUAAAAAAACAAAUGGAUUACAAUUGCAAAAUAAAAAAAAAUAAAAUAUGAUACUAUACUGAAAAUAUGAAGCACGCAUGACUAGCAACAAGAACAGAGAAUUAGCAAUGACACUAAGAAGAAAUAAGGUCUGGUCGCAAAAAGAGAAAGUAACCAAAAUAUUGCCCAUGAAAAGGAAAAGCAAAGGAAGAAGAUGAAAAGUAAGAGGGGAAGAUUAUUCAGCAACAAAAGUGGAAAAACAAAGAAAAGAAAGAAAGUGGGAGAAGUGGGGGAGUUGGACGACAGGAAGGAGAGAAUUUUAGGGAUAUAAAAAUCAAUUCUAUUUUAGGCACUAUGGGAUUUGAAUUUGAAACUUAUGAGUAAGCUAAAGCCUUACCACUGAACCAACAAGCUCAUUCUUACUAACAACCCAUAAAAAAUUAAAGAUAACCUUAACGUGACAAGCUGGGUGUAGGAAUAAAAAUACUCAGAAUUCAAGGAAAAGGAAUCGAGCGCAGAACCUCAAGAACACAACCAAAACAUUUAACCACUGAACCAGAUCAAUUUACUUGACAUAAAUAAUUGCCCAGAAAUUAAAGAAUUUUGGGGCAUUAUAAUCAAUCUAGUUGAUGUCCACGGAACUAACUAAAAAUUUGACUAAGGCAAGUGUACUUAUAAAUUAAUAGUAUAGUUACGGUGAUCAAAGAUAUCGUUCCCACGAAGAUAAAAAGUACUAGUAAUUAUCGUCUUUUUAUUAUUUAACCGAUAAAUUCGAGUGAUUGAUUAACAACUAAAAUUAACUAAAUUUAUUAACUAACAAACAAAAAAAAGAACAAAACAAGAAAAUAAUCGAUUAACAACCAAGAAGCGAAACAAUACCUAGGAAAGAAUUCACCUAGACUUCAUCUAUCACUAUCAAUCUAAAUUAUGCAAUUUAUUUACUUAGUAUCUUGAUCCGUAGAAAUCCCUAAAUUAUGCUAAUAUCUGUUUCGAGAGUAAGAGUAACUGACUCUAGGUUGAUUAAUUGGAACUUCUUUAAUUUCUAAUUAAAACCCCUAUUAUCGCAUUAACUCGAUUUAUGGAUUCCCCUAUUAGAUUUGACACUAAUCUGGUAAAUUUAUGUCAUCCUACUCUUAAACAUGGUCUAUUCCUCCUCUGAUUUAAGCACAUCAAAUAUGAAUCAAUAAUUUAGAAAUAUCAAACCAAGAAUUAAGCACAUUUAAUUGAGAACAAGAAACUAAGUAUUUAUUGCGUAAAAUAAAAUCAAACGACAGAAUCCAUCAUAGGGUUCAUCUCCCUACGUAUUUAGAAAAUUAGUUCAUGUUUGAAAAUAAAAACAUUCAAGAUUUAGUAUAACCACAAGAAGUAAAGAAACUCAUGAUGGCUUCCUAAGAAAUCAAAUGCGAAUCUUCAAUCUUAACGAAAAUCUGCUUCAGAAUCCGCUUCAAUGGUAUUUUUCGAGUUGUUUUCUUGAAUAUUCAAUGGCGGCUCACUCCUAUCUUCUUAUUUUUGUCCUAUAUUCGUCUUAGAAUGCCCGAAAAGCCUAAAAAUUACGUUUUCCACUCUUUAGAGAGCAAAUCCGCACAAUCGACAUGGCUUACCACAUGGCUGUAUGGUAGCUCGUGUGGGUCACACGACCGUGUGGAAUGGGUCAUCCCGUGUGGCUCUUGUAGCUUGAUCUGAUUUUUGCUCCUUUUGCUGCUCAAUGCUCUAUUAAGCAUAAAAGCAUGAAUUUAAAGGAUUAGGAGUAUAAAAUUUACAAUUAACAUCGAAUAAACACCCAAAAAACACAUUAAGAAUGAGUUUAAAAACAUGUUACUUUUAACACCUAUCACUAGUAAUUGAAGUUAGAGAAAAAAGAGAUGAAUUUAAAAAAGAAGUAGGUUACUUUGUAUUAUAAAUUAAAAGAAAAAAAAUCUCAAAUUUCAAAAAAUUGAAACUUACAAAAAAACCCUAGACAAAUACAAUAUAAUAGAACCUUUUGCUCUUCUCUCUUGCCGGAUAGGCUGUUGAUGGUAGAAGUUUUUAUGAUUCCCAAAAAAGGAAGCACCAUUACAAGCCUAAAUUUUGUUUCUAGAAAAUUAGAGCAGCAACAAUCAAUCUAAUAAUUAUAAUUAGUUAGACAUUUCUAGAUAAUAAAAAAACUAUUACGUGCCAACAUUAUGAACUACUAACAAUAUAUAUUUAAAGGUUAAAUUUUUUAUACAUAAAACGAAUAUUUAGAAAAUUUUAAUUUAUGUCAAACUUGACAUGCAUGAUCUAUGUAACUCCCCUUAUUUUAUUUUUUAAGUAUUGUAUUAAUAAUUUUUAUCUUACAUAUUUUAUUUAUGUUUUUUUGGGUACAUGCAUAUUUUAUUGCCAAAAAUAAAAUCUUUAUGUUAAAAAUAAAAUUAAGGAUUCAAAACCAACUAUUUUGUCAAAUUAAAUUUAUAUUUGGUAAACAAAUGCAUUUAAUUUUUUAUUUUUUAUUUUUUUGCAAUUAUCAACAAAUUCUAAUACCAAAUCUUUUAAAAUAAUAUGAAAAUUUCUAGUGAUAAAUUUCUUGCAUGGGACAAAACCAUUACCGUCAUUAAGCACUAGCUAUGUUUUUUAAAAAAAAUUAUUUAGUCACUAUAAGUUGACUCCCAAUUCACGAAAUUAGGUGGUGGAUAUGAUAAAAUCUAACAUGCAUACAUAUAUGUUUAAAUCAAACCAUAGCCUCACUUCAAAUAACAAAAUAAAUUCUAUUAACUUGUAUUCACAAUAAAUUUGUUGACAAUUUAUAUUAUAUAUCAAUUUCGUUUGAAAUGUGAUCGGUGCUCCAUCAUCCCUCAAUAAAAUGUGUUUUAGUGAAAUCUUAUAAUGCAAUCUAUUAGGGAAGUUGUUGUUUCUCGUUCCAUGUAUCUGUUAGAGUUGUGUGACCCCAAUUCUAAGAGAUUGCUUGCAAGUCAAGUUAAACAAAAAUAUAUUUUCUUUCUAGAAGAUUUAGUAUUUAUUAGUAUAACAUAUUUAGCAUUUAUUAGUAUAGUUUAUUUGACUUACUAAUUUAGCCUAUAAAUAGGCUCUUUUACAAUCUUAGAAAAACACACCCAUUAGAUUAGAACUCAUAACACAUUCAGAGAAUUUUGUGUUUACGUUUUGGGGGUUCUUUGUUUUUUGGAUUUUCGGGGUUUAGUUUUAUCUCCAUCUUUUGUACUCUUCAUUCUUUUGCCAUUAUAAUAAAAUUAUCUUUGCCCGUGGUUUUUUAUCCUCUUUGGAGGGGUUUUUCCACUUUAAAUUUGUGUGUUCAUCUUCUCAAUUUCUUCUUCUAUUUUUACUUGUUUGUUGCUUAAUCGGGACGAUCCUAACAGUAUCGUUAUAACAGACAUGUUUCUUUUCUUGGGCCAUUGUUUUCGGCUCUAUAUAGGUUUUGAUUGCGCUAAGUUUGAUCCAUUUAAUUAUGGCAUGCUUGACAAAACAAUAGCAUGCGUCGAUUAGAGAUCUUAGUCACCCAAUCGACUUCCUUGAGGUGGUUUAAUAAGUAUGGAAGUCUUAUUAUAUCUUGAUGAUUAAAGUCUUACUUUUAAGAGAUAAUUAUUAGCCUUAUUCAAGGAGUUUCUCAAAGACUUAUUAGCUAUUUUAAAGGAGAAUAUUUUGUUGCUUUCUAAGCCUAUAAAUAGGCGACAUAUUCCCUUGGGAAUGGUAAAAUUUUAUAAGUUGAUUUCUUCAGAAAGUGUGUGCAACUUGUGUUUCGAUAAGCUUGUGUUUUUCUUUCUUCAUUUGAUUAUCUGCUUAGUUGAUUAAGGUGUUUGUUACACCUAGUCGAAUCACUAUUGAGUGACCAUUGUGAGUUGUGGGAUUAUUAGUUCUUUUUCAAGGUUGUGGUAGGUGCUAUAAGUAACAAGCUUUAGUUUUAUUCUUAAUGUGUUUUUGGGUGAUUAUUUGAUAUUAAUGGUGAAUUUUAUGCUCCUAAUCCUUUAAAUUGAUGUUUUUAUAUUUAGGAAAGCAUUUGAGAGCAAAAGGAGCGAAAAACAAGCAAAAAUCAGAAAAUCGGAGCAAGUUACAAGAGCCACACGGGUUGGACCAUUCCACACGGCCAUGUGGCAAGCCAUGUUGAUUUCAUAAUUUGCACUCUAAAAUUGCGGGGAAACGUGAGUUUUAGGUUUUUCGAGCUUUCUAAGAUAUAUAUAUGACAAAAAUAAGAAGAUAAGAUGAGCUGUCAUAGAAUUCUCAAUAAAACAACUCGAAAGACACCAUUGAAGCGGAUUCUGCAGUAGAUUUCCAUCAAGAUUGAAUAUUUCCUUUUGAUUUAUUUGGAGAUUAUUAUGAGUUUCUUUGUUUCUUGUGGUUAUAUUGUGUUUUGGAUGUUUUUAUUUUCAAGCAUGAACUAAUUUUCUAAAUACCUAGGGAGAUGAAACCUGUGAUGGAUUCUGGUGUUUGAUUUUUAUUUUACACAAUAAAGACUUAGAUCUUAUUCUCAAUUAUGUGUGCUGUUCUUAAUUAUGUGUGUUUAAUUCGCGAUUUAAUAUUUUUAAACUAUUGGUCCAUGUUUGAUGUGCUUAAAUCAGAGGAGGAAUAGACCCUGUUUAAGAGUAGAUCUAGCGUAAAUGAGUGGAGUUGCAUGCAAUCCUAGAAAUAAGAUGAAAUAAAUCUACCAGAUUAGAUUCAAAUCUAAUAGGGGAAUCCAUAGAUUGAGGUAAUGCGAUAAUAAGAGCUUUAAUUAGAAAGAAAUUUUAAUUAAUCAACCUAGAGUUAGUUGCUCUUAUUCUUAAAGAGAGAUAUUAACAUAAUUUAGAGAUUUCUAUGGAUCAAGAUACUAAGUGAAGAAAUUGUGUAAUUUAGAGUGAUAAUGAUAGAUGAAAUCUAGGUGAAUUCUUUCUUGGGUAUUGUUUUGCUGCUUGGUUGUUUACUCCAUUAUUUUCCUGAUUUGUUCUUUGUCGCGUUCGUAGUUAAUUAAUUUAGUUUAUUUUAGUUUUCAAUCAAUCAUUCGAAUUUAUCGGUUAAAUAAUAGAAAGACAGUAAUUACUAGUACUUUUAGUCCUAUGGGAACGAUAUCUUUGCUUACCAUAGCUAUACUAUUAAUUGAUAGGUGUACUUGCCUUAGUCAGAUUUUUAGUUAAUUUUGUGGACAUCAGGCUGUAUAUGCUUGCUUGGAGAAAAAGUUGUGAGCUUUAGGCAAUAGGGAAGAAGUGUACUCUUGAAAUAGUUGGUGAUUGGAUAAAAAAUCUAAGCGAGACUCCACAAAUGUAGGACUAUUGUGUCUAAACUACAUAAACAAAUAUUGGAUGUGUAGCUUCUUUUCUUUUAUUGUUUUUCAUUACGCUACCUUUUUCGUUCUAAUUGUCGUUACAACGAAGUCUAAGCAAAUUUGAUUAAUCGUAUGUGUAAAUUACUAAUUAAUUUUCAGAAUCAAACUUUUUUAUUCAAUCAAUCAAUAACUAUAUUAGGAGAAAUAUGACCAACAUAAGUAAAUGGAAAAAAGCUUCAACCCUUAAGUGCAAUUUUUAAUUCAAUCAGUCUAAUAAAUCAAUCCUAUUUAAAUAAUAUUGAGUAUGAUUUAGUCUACCCCUCUCAAUCACCCAAAUAACCCAACUCUCCCUCCGGCACAUACUCAAAUAACAGGUAAAUCAUUUUCCUAAAAGAGAUUCACAAAAUCCACUUUUUUUUUGUUUAAAAUAAUCAUAUAAUAUAUAAUAUGGUCAAACAUUUCUAGAUGAUUCAGCUUGAUUUUCUCACACUUACAAAUUUAAAUUUUAAUGACCAAUGUUUAAUCAUUCUAUUAGUCCCUAUACUGUAUGGAAGCAUUCAAUUCAAUCUUUACAUCUCAAACAUCCUUAAAAUAUCUACAUAAAUUUAUGGGUGGGUGUUCAUAAGUUUAAAUUAUAGUUAAUUUCAUAUCCUAAAUAAGCAAAUGGCUAAAUACCCAAAUGAUAUUAUCACCCAUAAAUCAAUUUUUUUUUUUUGAAUGUAUCACACAUGAAUCAAAAUUAUUUACUUUGUUUUGUUGCCUCCAAAGCAACCCUUCUCAAUUCAAAAUUCAAUAAUAUAAUUAAAUUAAAUGGAAAAAAGAAUUAGAUAGUAAACCAAGAAGAUUAGUCACUAAACCAACAAAAUUAAUAAAAACUAAACAAUUUAAAGUAAAAAAGGAACAUGCAAAAGUAGUUUGAAAUUAAAAUAAACAUAUAAAAAAAUUAAAAAGAAAAACACUCACCAAAAGAACAAGAAGAAGAAGCAACCUUCCACACUUGUAAAACAUUUUCUACUAAAAAGAAAAGAAAAUUAAAUAACACCUUAAAACUAGAGUUACCUCAUGGCCAUGCUGGUUCGAGUUUAAAUCGGGUCUAAACAUUAUAUUAAUAUAUUUUAUGCUUGUCUAAGCUUGACCCGAUCUAAAAUAUGAGUCUAAAAUUUUGUUUAAGUUCUUCUGUCUUUGCAAAAGAUUAACUCAAGCUCAUUUUAGGCCCGUCCAUAUUAUUUUUAUUUUUAAAAAAAUAUUUAUAUUAUAUUAAUUUUAAUUUUAUAUAUUUUUAUUUAUUGAAAUUUUUUAUAUAAACAUCUUAACAUUAUUUUAUGUUUACAUUAUAAUAGUAUUAUAUAUUUAGUAUAGGUUCUUUUAAUGUGUUAUAAAUUAAAUAAUAUAUAAAAAUAACAUAAUAUAAAACAUUAUAAACUUAAAAAUGGGCCGAGCUUAGGUCUUCAAUAUUUAAACCCAAGCCUGAACUAUAUUUUAAAUGGGCCUAAUUUUUUUUCUAAGCCCAUUUUUCAGGUCUAAUAUAUUUAUCCAAACCUUCCCAAAUUUCAGUCGGACUUUCAAACAUGGACAAAUAACUCGACCCAUAAACAAAACAUGGAAAACACAACAAACAUAAUCUUGACCAACAUAAAGCCCACCAAUUUAAAUGACCCAAUCACCCUUCAAAAACCUAUCAAUACCUUCAUUUACUUAGCUUAAAAUCAGAUCAUCUAAAUUCCAAAUUAAGGCCACUCAAUGCAUAAGGUUAACUUUAAAGGAGUUUUAUAGAUGUGAUUUAAAAGCACUAAAAUCACAUGGAUGAAUUACAAAAAUUUUAUUGUGUACUCACGAAAUAAAGUAACUUUAUUUACAUAGACCAAUUUUUAUCAAAAUAUUUGCACUCAUAUCCCUUUUUGUUUUUUCUUAUGAAAAUGUCUUCGUUUAAAGAAAUCAUAUCAACGCGUCCAAAAAGAAAAUGUAGGGAUGAUUAAGUAACAAUUUGUUCCAAUACCAAGGCUUUUGGUACUACUUGCUUUUCUUCGAAAGAGUGAUGUUAGCUCAACAACAAUUCUAUUCUCAACGUUUCGACAUCAUGAUAUGCAGUGUGCCAAAAACCAGGACAACAUAGUUAAAGUCCCUCACCUUUGCCAAUAUAACAAGAACCACAUUCAAUGAUUCCUUUAACCCUUUACUUACCAAGCUAUCACAUGAUUGUGUACCCUUUUUAGAGGUCGAUUUAGCCUAAUCUUCCACCAAUCGAGAUCCAAAAAAUCCUUUAGUAGCCACACAAAUCCCUUACUCUAUUACCAAGAUCAAUAAUUAAUGCCAAUUGUAAAUUUGUUUACAUUUGUAGAACCCUAAGGAUUCAUUUGUUUCCUUUUAUCAUUUUGUGGUUAGACGUUUAGCGCCUAAAAACAUUAAACCUUUCCUUUAGAAGAGGUCUUUGAGCUUUAUUGCCAAGGUGUAAGCUUUUAUGAACCUUAUUGGGACCACGUUCUAGG